UUCGGAUGCCUCUCGGACGCCUCCCUGGUGAGGUGUUCCGGGCACGUCCCACCGGGAGGAGACCCCGGGGACGACCCAGGACACGCUGGAGAAACUACGUCCUUCAGCUGGCCUGGGAACGCCUCAGGAUCCCCCUGGAAGAGAUGGAUGAAGUGGCUGGGGAGAGGGAAGUCUGGGCGUCCCUGCUAAAGCUACUGCCCCCGCGACCUGACCUCGGAUAAGCGGUAGAAAAUGGAUGGAUGGAUGGAUGCAUUACAUGGAUCGGAUCAGCCAACAUUCGACUACUAAGUUCUCCUGGCUUCUACUGACCUCUACUGGCCUCCAGUGGUGUUAAUAUGCUACGUCACACUAACUAUUGUUAUGCUGCAUUCACACCAGAUGCGUUUUGGGCAUUUCACGUGGCGUGAUUCCAUAAGAAGUCAAUGCAGUUCGCACGGAUAGAUGCAAAUCCGUGCCGGGUGGCGGGGAUGCGAAAAUUCGGCUCCUUUGCCCGUUCGCUUGAAGCUGGGAGAGUUGAACUACAAGCCACAUUCGUGUCAUGACAGCCAAUCAGCAUUGAGAAUUCUUACGUCACAGACAGCGUCCUGUACAGUUGUUGAGUAGAGGAAAAAUCAUCCUUGCUGUGUGUGGACACCCGGAGCUGUACAAUUCAGCCUGUUACAACUACCUGGACAGAACCAAAAAGGAGCAGGCUUGAAAAAUGGCGAGUGAGGAAGUUGGUGUUCCUGGUAAGUGUAUUUAUUUACUUAUUUACAGCUGUCAAACUGUGAACCAAGAUGGCAAUAGUUAGCCAAAGUUAGCACAACCACCGGCCACGUUUGACUAUUGAUGUUCAUACAUUAAUUUCUGUCAGAUGACGUGCCACAAAAAGUGGAAGGGACUCAGGGACACGUACUUGAGGGAGAGGAAGAGCAAGAAAAGUGAAGUUGCUCGGCAGCAAGAACAGGCAAGAGGUGGAAGUACUCUGCGGUCCCCCUUUGUGUCCCCAAGAUAGACGAGUGGGAACAUGGGGUGGGGGGUUGAGGAAGAGGGUACCGCAGAGUACAGCGGUGCUAGUGCUGAGGGAAUGGCACUAGAAGACGAGGAGGCAGGGCCAUCACCUGCGAGAGGAGAAGAUGAGGUGGAGGAUGAGGAUGGUCAGGCUGAGGAACAGGAGGCUGCUGCUGCCGCCGCAGCUGCCCCUGCUGCAAGACUGCCUGGUGUAUAUGCAUUGCAUGGAUCAGCCAACAUUCGACUACUGAGUUCUCCUGGCUCGCAGGAAGUUGUGGAGAACACAGGUGGCCUUCACACACUUCUCCGCAACUUGGUGAUGAACUUCCAUGACACGCCUAUACAUCCUCCACUGGGCAGAGAGUAUCCCGAAGGCAUUCUCCACCAUCAGCCGAGCUUGGGAGAGACGGUAAUUAAACAUCCGUCGCUUGGGCGGAAGAAUGCGUCCGGGGAAUGGUCUCAACAAAUUUCUCCGGAGCGGAAAAGCCUCAUCAGCAACAAAGACAUAUGGCUGGGGUCCUCGUUGGUCAGCUCCUGGUAGUGGCCGUUCUGUAGGCAGUUGGAGGGUGCCGGAGCGCAGUGCUUGACCAAAAGCUGAGUUAGACAGAAUCCCACCAUCACUGGUUCUUCCAUAGCCCUCGACAUCUAUGACCCUGAAACAUUUUUCAGCAUCUACAACUGCCAAGAGAACAAGCGAGUAUGUUCCCUUGUAAUUAUAAAACUGUGAUCCAGAGUUGGCGGGGGCUUUGAGGACCACAUGUUUUCCAUCUAGAGCACCACAGCAAUGAGGGAAAUUCCACUGCUUCUCAAACCUCUCUGCAAUGGAGUUCCACUCCUCUGUGGUGGACACAGCCAUGAAUUUUUACACUAGAAAGUCCCAAAUUGCUGUUGCCACAUCGGGGACAAUCUUGGAUACAGUGGAGAACCCAACACGGAAACUGUUGGCAAUGGUCCUGAACGAGUCACCUGUGGCAAAGUAUCUGCAAUACAUAACACAUUAAAUUGACCAGAGUCAUAAUGAAGAUGCUGUAGUAAUCUACAAAACAUACAGUUGUGCUAAAUAAUUUUGGCACCCCAUGAGCAUGACUGUAAUAUGUCUUAUAUAUAUUUGUCUCAAAAUAAUCCUCUCCCUAUUCUGGCUUUUAUCAUUCAUUAAUUCAAUUUCCAUACCGUUUAUCCUCACUAGGGUUGCGGGCAUGCUGGGGCCUAUCCCAGCUAUCUUCGGGCGAGAGGCGGGGUCCACCCUGAAUUAGUCGUCAGCCAAUCGCAGGGCACAUAUAAACACUCAGAUUCACACCUACGGGAAAUAUAGUCUUCAAUCAACCUGCCACGCAUGUUUUUGGGAUGUGGGAGGAAACCGGAGUACCUGGAGAAAACCCACGCAGGCACGGGGAGAAUAUGCAAACUCCACACAGGCAAUUUGAGCCCUGGUCCUCAGAAUUGUGAGGCAGAUGUGUUAACCAGUCGGGCACUGUACUGCCUGGCUUUUAUCAAAUAGAAAUAAUUCUGUUAAACCUAACUGACCUAAAACAGGAAAGGUUUACUCUGAUUUCUGAGUCAAGAAAAAAAAACCAUUGUGUCUUCUUAUUCAAUUAUGGCUAAAGGUAUUGGCACUCAUGGGGUGCCAAUAUUUUUGAGUCCAACUGUACCAAUCAUAAAUUCAUGAAAAGUCAUCUACACAUUUAAAACAUCAUCAAAAAUCAUAAUUGGUCUACAUACACAAACCGUAAUCAUACAUUCAUAAUGAAUCAUAAAGAGAUGAAUACAUCGAACAUAAACACAAAAACAUGUUGCUAUUAGUUGUGCCAUUUUUCUUUUGGCUGUAUAGCUGCUUUCAAAAAUUACAAUCAUAAUGAAUUCCAGUGACUUUAUUCAUAUAUUUUAUAUGUGUGUAUUUAACUACAGAUGAGAUAAUUUGAUCAAUCCAGACUCCAUUAGUUCCACACUUUUCAUCAGUUCAUUUUUUUUUACUAUUUGGCACCUUGUUAACAUCCUUUGGAUACAUUUGUUUAGUAAUUCUGUAAUGAACCUGCCAUGAGAUUCAGUCGAUUGAAUGACUAUUUAUUUAUUGUGAGAUACCAAACAAAACUGCCACUCACCGGAGACAAACGAACAGGCGUUCCGCAGCUGAGCUAGAACGCCUGUAGUUGGUGUCCAUGCAUGCGAUCCUGGCACCGAUACGAGCCAACAGGUGGUCAAACUGGGCACUGCUGCUGGAAGCGGCAGUCAUCCAGAUGCAGUUUUUGGAGAAGGCGGUGGAAUUCUCCCAGUUGUGUGUGCCUCUGGAUGGUGUUGUGUAUCAAUAAACGACGGCGUUUGGCGUUCGGACAUUUGGACUUCUUCCACAACAUGUACAGAGCCACAUUGCAGGUCGUGUUGUCGUCCAUUGCUGCUAGUUUGAAGUAUGUCAAAAAAACAAGGAAUUUGUCUCUCGUAGUUGGAGCUACUCUAGUAUGACAAUUGACAGUCAUUUUGACAAAAAAAUACUUUUUAGACAUAAAAACAUAAAAACACACAAUGGAGAGUCCUUUAGCCUCUAACAAUUUAAUGCAAGUGGGAAGAAGCUGUUGGAAUGUCUGCUUGUUUUAGUUUGCAUUGAUCGAUAGCGCCGACCUGAGGGAAGGAGCUGAAAGAGGUGGUGACCAGGAUGUGGAGGAUCCAAGAGGAUUUUGCAUGCUCUUGUCUUAGUUCUGGCAGCGAGCAAGUCGUCAAGGGUGGGUAGGGGGUACCGACGAUUUUGUAGGCAGUCCGGAUUGUCUGUUGCAGUCGGAGUUUGUCCUUGUUUCGUGGCAGCAUCAAACCAGACUGUGAUGGAUGAACACAGGACUGAUUCGAUGACUGCUGCAUAGAACUGCCAUAACAGCUAUUGUGGUAGGCCGUGCUUCCUCAGAAGCCGCAGGAAGUAUAUACUCUGCUGGGCCUUUUUCAGGAUGGAGUUGAUGUUGGUCUCCCACUUCAGGUCCUGAGAGACUGUAAAGGCUUCUUUAUACUCGCGCGGACACCGACCACGCUGACGUCACUGCGGCUGUAUUGCGCGCAGUUUGCCUUUAUACUCGAGCGCAACCCACGCGCGCUGUUUUGGAAGUGUGCUCCAGUUCUCCUCCAAGUCGGGGGUGUCGCUACGGCUGGUAUUGGAUAGGACACCAGAGCGUGGAGUUUCCUCUGCAUUUUUUUUUUGCCAAUUCCAGUAGCCGUUUUUACUUUCAGUAACAAGGAACAAAGCAACAACAAUGGCGACCGCGACAGAACAAAUGGACCUAGAUGACCAGAUGAUACAUUUAAUUAUGCUGCAAAAUCGAUCGAGAAGGCGGCGACGUAGAUGGUAUGUAGAACCAAUGGGCAAGCUGGUACGUCAUCACAGCAUGUGACUAAAUCGGACCAAUCACGAGAGAUGAUCUCCCCGGCGUUCAUCGCGCAGCAACUAUUUUUGUCGGGUAUGCGGCAAGCUACGCAGAGGUGCUGCGCGGGGCGAUUCGUCGGUCACGUGAUGCAAUGCGGGUGUUAUCGGCCGCGCGAAAGCGGGAGUAUAAAGAGGCCUUAAUCCCAGGAACGUGAAGGUUUUGACGUUUGACACAGUUGUUUGGGGGAAUAUUUGCCCAGUUGAGCAAAGAAUUUUGUCUCUAUGGGAACUGUUGUAACACGUAAGAACUCUGCAUUGAAAUAAAAAGAGCUUUGAAUAGCAAUGCGACAAGGGGCCACCAUCUUUGUGGAAUUUUCUAAAAACAUGGAAUGAACACUUGAAAUGCCUCUAAAAUCGUCCAUAACAAAUAAAUUCCUGAAAAACAAUUUAUGACUUAAGUACAUGACCUGCUAUACUUCCCAUACAGCUCUUUUUCACCAAUAAUGUUCCAUUCAUGCUAUUGAAGUCAACUUUUUGGUUGUUGAUUUCCUGAAGCUAAAAGAAAUUACAUUAAUAGUUGACACAUUUGAUGGCUGAUAUUCAACAUUCAUUUACUAACCGGCCAGGUGGCUUGCACUCUCCUGACACAGUGUGUCGGAUUCGUGGUCUGAAAAUGACGUCCAUUUAAUGACAGAUACAUGUUUAGAAACGAAUGACUUUGAACUAACAGUAACGUGACCAAAUCUUUUUCUUAACAAUGUUCGUCGAACCCCUCCGUCCAAAUCCGUAAUGGUGGGAAUACACUCGUCGCCAGACUCACCAGAUGUUUUAACCAAUGUGCAUAUGCAACUCACAAUCAGUCGAAGAAAAUUCAUUGGUCUUAAUGAAACAUUUCACUUUGCUGCCCUCCUGCAAAUUUUUAUUUACAGUGAAGUAAAAAAAAAAAAAACUUCACGUUAAAUGAGCAAACUAACAUUUUUCAUAAUUAGAAUUUAAAAAAUAACAUGAAAGGAAUGGCAGCUUUGUUAUACUUUUUCAGUGUGCUCACAAAAAGCCACUUAACACUUCAGCUCACAGGCGCAAAUGUUGAAUUACCAACUGUCAAACUGCUGUCAGAGUAAAACAACAAUCACUCCUCACCAACAGCUCAUUGAAUCAACACACUUGAGUCCUUUGGUCCGCAGGUUCUAUCAGCAACCAUGUCGUCAGCGGUCAACACUCAAUAUUAUUCAUUUUGCCAUCUUACCUGACUGGUGAUUAGGUACAAUUUGUAAAGUGUCUCAUGCUGAAAAUAACAGCAACAUUUUGUCACAUUUAGCUUUAGGCAAUAUUUGAAAAACUUUUUUGCACGUUUACAACAAAAUGUGUCAACUGAACGAUAUAUUACAUAGUUAAAUACAAAUAAAUGUUACCUUGCCUCUCUGCCUCAUGUUUUUUGGAUACUGUUGCCUUUUCGGCUUGCCUGCCUGUGUACCGACCUCUGCCCGUUUAUUAAACCUCUCUUUUUGAAACUGUCCAUUUGAAUUGGAGUCGUGCAUUUUGGGUCCUGUCCUUUGUUCCGUUCAUGACAGAACGAACUGGCCAUAACAUGGACCCAGCAGACUCAGACCCGGUGCGCAAAGACCUUCAAGCGCAGGGUCAACGCAUCUCAAAGCAGGAUGAGCAGCUCGCUGCCCUCCACCUUCAUCUAAAGGGACUGUCAGAGCAUCAGGACAGACAGGUGGCCUCACAGUUGGAAUUUCGAAUAAAUAUGGUUCGGAAGAAAGAACCAGCUGGCACAGCACCGGAUGCCGCCACUGUACUGCCGUUUCCAUGUGAAGCAGUCACCAUGCCGCCACCUGCCACCUCCGCUGCGGUCUGCCCACAGCUCUCUCGAACGGAAAGGAUCUCUGGAGAUUCUGGGAACAUUAAGCCAUUUAUCACUCAGUGCGAACUCCACUUUGAGCUGCAGGCAGCUGCCUUCCCCACCGAGCGGGCAAAGAUCGCUUUUGUCAUUUCCCACCUGACUGGUCUUGCAGAGGUGUGGGCUACUGCUGAAUGGAGCCGCAAUUCCGCCACGUGUCAUUCUUGGGCUUCUUUCGUAAAAGACUAUCGAGCAAAUUUUUCAGUUUUCCAUGCCAGAUCGCGAGGCAGCUCGCUCCCUUGUCACCUUACAACAAGGCAAGCGCAGGGUGUCAGAUUACGCGAUUGAGUUUCGCAUUGUAGCAGCUGAGAGUCAGUGGAACAACAGGGCACUACUCGAUGCAUUUUUUCAAGGAUUAUCCCCCGCCGUCAAGGAUCAUUUGGUCCCACUAGACCUGCCGACCGACUUGGACACUCUCAUCGCUCUUGCCGUGAAGAUCGACAAAAGGCUUUUGGAUCGCAAGCUGGACGGAGAUCAGCGGAAGGAUGCGUCACCGCGCACUUGGAGGACAAGCCUCGGUGACCAGCCAAACAAAGGCAGAUCCCCUAUGUCAAUCCACUGGCUAGCGUCACCACGGAUGAACCCAUGCAACUGGGCAGGUUCCGUCUCUCCCCUGAGGAACGUCAACGCCGGCUGAAGGAAGGGCGGUGCUUCUACUGUGGGCAGUUGGGUCAUUCCGUGAGCAAUUGUCACGUCAAGGUUGCCGGUGCCGGUACCAAGGGUACGGGAGCGGUGAGUCUAAAUUUCAUUAAGGAAAACCCUACCCGGGUUCUUCCUAAAGUGACACUAUGCUCUCCUGAUCAAGAGAUUCAUGCACCUGUAUUGAUUGACUCUGGUUCUGACGCAAACUUACUCAACUCCCUCCUCGUUAGACGGAUGCACCUUAGAACCUUUCAAGUAAGGCGCCACCGCAACACUUAUGCUGCAGACGGCAGUUUUAUGGGCAAGAUCACUCACCGAACCCAAACACUCACAUUGACAUUUCCUGAUUCUCACUCGGAACGUAUUAGUUUUCAUGUUUUUGACGCCAUGAAUUAUUACCUUACUUUAGGGAACCCUUGGUUGAAAUUACGUAACUGAUCCUCUGGGCAUGUUAUGUCAUGGGGCCAUAAUUGCACCCAGAACUGUUUCAAGCCUCCAUGUAAUGUUCAGGGAUAUGUUUCUAAUGAAAUUCCAAAGACCCCAUCGGGGGAUCCUGACUUAUCUCAAGUACCCACCUGUUACCAUGACAUGAGAGAUGUUUUUUCCAAAUCCAAGGCCAAAUCCCUUCCCCCCACAGACCUUAUGACUGUGCAGUUGACUUGCUGCCUGGAACCACACCUCCACGGGGGAGGUUGUUCUCUCUUUCAGGGCCGGAACACAAGGCCAUGAAGGAGUACGUGGACGAAUCAUUGGUAGCCGGGAUUAUUCGCCCAUCUUCAUCCCCUGCGGCAGCAGGAUUUUUCUUUGUGGACAAAAAGGACAAUACCCUGCGACCCUCUUUCGAUUACCGGGGUCUCAACGAGAUAACAGUGAAAAACAGGUACUCCCUUCCUCUCAUCUCCACCGCCUUUGAGUUCCUGGAGGGAGCCAAGGUUUUCAUCAAACUAGAUUUAAGAAAUGCAUAUAAUCUAGUCAGGAUAAGGGAGGGGGAUGAAUGGAAAACAGCAUUCAACAUACCAACGGGACAUUACAAGUAUUUGGUGAUGCCUUUUGGACUAACUAAUGCUCCAGCUGUGUUCCAGAACUUUGUCAAUGAUGUCCUGUGUGACAUGUUGAAUGUGUAUGUUUUUGUAUAUUUGGACGAUAUUUUGAUAUUCUCCCCGGAUGAGGAGACUCACAUUAUUCAUGUCCACUCUGUGUUGCAGCGGUUACUGCAGAAUUAACUUUAUGUUAAGGCUGAGAAAUGUGAGUUCCAGAAGGUGUCUGUUUCUUUUCUGGGUUUCGUGCUGGCUCAAGGUGAAGUCAAAAUGGACCCUUGCAAGGUCGAUGCGGGUCCACCCUGCAUUUCACGUUCCAGCAUUCCUUGUUUCCACGUCACCGACUCAUAGUAAGACUAGAACCUGUUCUGAUUUUUUACCUUGCCUCUUUGCCUCACGUUUUUUGGAUACUGUUGCCUUUUCGGCUUGCCUGCCUGUGUACCGACCUCUGCCCGUUUAUUAAACCUCUCUUUCUGAAACUGUCCAUUUGAAUUGGAGUCGUGCAUUUUGGGUCCUGUUCUUUGUUCCGUUCAUGACACAUAUUACAGCGUAAAUAACUCCCUGAAAUAACAAACACAUUUGGAGAACCUUUUUUUGCUGAGUACUUUGAGUUCUUACUGCUGUAGCGGACACGCUAUGAAAAGAUGACACCCAGCACCCCAGUCUCCGGCAGACUUGCUCUUCCCACCGAGAUAGAUGACCACGGAGUGCCGAGACGUAACUUCACUUACAGACGCUAAAUUCAUCAACAGCCAUAAUCAACAGAAGCAAGACACAGACAUUUGCUUUGGCAG